CAAUAGCGUAUAUUUAAGUUGUUGCAGUUAAAAAGCUCGUAGUUGGAUUUCGGGUGGGACGCAGCGGUCUCGCAUUGCGUUUGUACUGCUGCAGCCCUCCUUCUUGCCGGGGGCGGCCUCUCGGACUUCACUGUCUGGGGGUCUGAAUCGGCGAUGUUACUUUGAGUAAAUUAGAGUGUUCAAAGCAAGCUUACGCUCUGAAUAUAAUAGCAUGGGAUAACACGACAGGACUCUGGCCUAUCGUGUUGGUCUAUAGGACCAGAGUAAUGAUUAAGAGGGACAGUCGGGGGCAUUCGUAUUCCGUUGUCAGAGGUGAAAUUCUUGGAUUUACGGAAGACGAACAUCUGCGAAAGCAUUUGCCAAGGAUGUUUUCAUUGA
rnacentral:rRNA from 1 species